AGCUUUAUAGUCAAAAAUGAUUUUAAAUUGCAAAUUUAAAGGUAAAGGUCACUUUUAAGGCUU
rnacentral:tRNA from 1 species